CCUGCCCCUCCCACCCUCUCCUACCCACCACCACCACCACCACCAUCCAUCACCGCCGACCACCAACAUUCGCGGGUACAAAUCAGACGCGCCGCCUCCCACCACCGCCACCGCCCACCACGAGGGACGAGUCCCUCCACGAGCACUUCACCGGAGACGCCCACACACCACGGCACGGCACUAGAUUGGACGAGUCCCUAAAAUUUCUGACGCUCCUCUCUCUCGGCGACGCCCACUAAACGACAUCACCACCGGCCACUUCCAUCCACCACAUCAACUGAAUGCCACCCACGUCGCACCGCUGGCAAUUCCCACCCAGUUGAAGAAGGUACAAACAGAAAAAUAAUAUCUACAAAUAGCAAUGCGUCAAAUGGAUGUUUGCUAUGUUAUUGUGGAAUUCUUGCUUAUGUAAGGACCUUCUGGAUAGAAAAAAAAACUUCGGUAGAAUGGACACUUACGAAAAAAGAAUGCGUGCUGAAAUGAAACGUCUACAUGACACAGGAGAUAGAAUGCGUAGUGAAAUGGAGAAUCAAUCUGUCCAAUUUCAGUUGAAGUUAAGAGUUGUAUCAAACUAAAGUAAAGUUGUACCAAUUUAGGGAGAAGAUGUAUCAAGCAGCUUUAGUUUUUUUUAUUUUUUUAUUUUUUAUUAUUUUUAUUUUUAUCAUUAUUAUACUAUUUUAUGUUAGUGAUUACAAUCAAUAUAGUGGUAGUAAGCUGAUGUUAAGAUGAACUUAUUCAUCGUGUUGUAAAUUAACUAACAAUCACAUUGAUCAACAAUUUGGAGAGUGAAUGUACUUUAAUUAAAGUUCAUGUA